AAUACAUUUUUAUAAUACAAUACUGUGAACAAACCAGAGUGUAUAAAACAUGUAAUAUAAUUAUAUAUUUUAGCAAUGAAUGUUUUAUCAUGGAAUAUUGCUAAAAAUAUGAUUAAUUCGAUGGAGAUAGUUGGAGUUAAGAGUACUGAUAGGCGAGCGGUGAAAUGCAUUGACCCUAUUAAGACUAACAAAAGCGAAAGCACUUAACUAGAUUAUUCUCUUUGUAUUAUUACAAUGAAGAGCGAAGGUUGGGGGAACAAAGAGGAUCAGAUACCCUCGUAGUCCUAUUUUUACAUCAAACUAUGGGAUUUCAUUCACAACCAAAAAAAGAUUUAUAAAUAUAUGAUUGAGUAUUUUUUAAAAAUUACUCUCAUAUUAUAAUAUAAUAUAAAAUGAUUAUAUGUACUUUGAGCUCAUAUAAUUAUAUAGGUGAGAUGUAAGCAUUAUAGGUGAAUAAUAUAUAAGUAAUAUUAUAUUAUUAUGAUCCUUAUUUAUAAAAAUGUAAUGUGAUG
rnacentral:rRNA from 1 species